CCUACGGGCGGCAGCAGUAGGGAAUAUUGCUCAAUGGGGGAAACCCUGAAGCAGCAACGCCGCGUGAAGGAUGAAGGUUUUCGGAUUGUAAAGUUCUUUUGUUAGAGAAGAUAAUGACGGUAUCUAACGAAUAAGCACCGGCUAACUUCGUGCCAGCAGCCGCGGUAAUACGGAGGGGGCAAGCGUUACUCGGAAUCACUGGGCGUAAAGAGCGUGUAGGCGGGUUAGCAAGUCAGAUGUGAAAUCCUAUGGCUUAACCCUAGAAUUGCAUUUGAAACUGUUAGUAUAGAGUUUGGGAGAGGUAGGUGGAAUUCUUGGUGUAGGGGUGAAAUCCGUAGAGAUCAAGAAGAAUACUCAUUGCGAAGGCGACCUACUAGAA
rnacentral:rRNA from 1 species